AUUUGAAAACAAACUUUAACCAAAACUAAACCAAAAUUAUCAAAAAUUAACCCGAACCCGCCGACCUAUUAACGUUCCGAUCCAACGCUUCUUCUUCACCUGAAAUUUUGCUUGGAUUCUCUUCGUUUAAAAACAAUACCAGACUAACUUUUUUCUGAUGAAAUCAAUAAUCGAUCUUGGAUGCAAGUAUAAAGAGACUUUCCUCAUCCUUCGUUCAGUUUAUUGAUUUCCUGUAAAUUCACUCAUUUUUGUCAAUUGCUUUUAUGUAACUUCAAAUUCGAGUUUCUUAAUCGUGAAUUCGUGAUUUCAAGUUCUCCUCAAACUCUGUUAUUUUAUGGAUUCGAUGUGGUGAAGGUGAAUACACACAACAUGGAUGGGAAGAAGAAGAAGAAUAAGUGAAAAGAUCUAGUUUUGUUGAGGAAGAAGCUGAUAAGAAGUAUCAUCAUUGGCUUGAUAGCAUGAAGAAGAGGGAAAUCGGCAGUUAUUAAAGGUAGUGGUGGUGGUGAAAGAGCUAAUUCUUGGACGAGGAGUGGUGUUGCGGCAACAUGAGAUUUUUGUUAGUUUUUUUGAGUAGAUUUUUAUGAUAUUAUGGGUUUGUGUUUCUUCAGCUAUGAGAUUAUUAUGAGAUUAUGGGUUUCUAAAUUUAAAAGCGUCC
rnacentral:sRNA from 1 species